UCUCCGUAGGUGAACCUGCGGAGGGAUCAUUACUGAGUGAGGGCCUCUGGCCCGACCUCCAACCCUUUGAUGUCCGACUCUGUUGCCUCGGGGGCGACCCGGCCUUCGGGCCCGGGGCCCCCCGUGGUCCACUCAACUCUGCAUCUUUGCGUCUGAGUAAACAUUAAAUGUAACAAAACUUUCAACAACGGAUCUCUUGGUUCUG
rnacentral:misc_RNA from 1 species